CAAACCAAAGCUGGCGACCGGCGCACGGGUGAGUAACACGUAUCCAACCUGCCUCAUACUCGGGGAUAGCCUUCGAAAGAAAGAUUAAUAUCCGAUAGCAUAUAUUUCCCGCAUGGGUUUUAUAUUAAAGAAAUUCGGUAUGAGAUGGGGAUGCGUUCCAUUAGUUUGUUGGGGGGGUAACGGCCCACCAAGACUACGAUGGAUAGGGGUUCUGAGAGGAAGGUCCCCCACAUUGGAACUGAGACACGGUCCAA
rnacentral:rRNA from 1 species